UUUAAAGAGAUCAACAUUGUGUACAUAUACAAGCAGAGGUCACAUACAUUGGCGUGCAAAAAUAUUUGUACCCCUUUAACAUUUUCAUAGGGGAUAUUGUUCUUUAGCAGGGUAAGGCGAGAUGCUCAGUGUGGAUGAUGAUACAUACAGAGGCUGCAAAACACUGUAGUGGAGGUUCACUUCCACCAGAACGGCCACCCUAAACAUGCAGCCAAAAGCUAAAAAGGAAUUAUAUUGAUCAAAAGUUCUUCACGUGUUUAAAUCUAACUGAAAGUCUGUGGCAAACUUUAACAUUGUCGUACAUCGGUACUUCUUGCACGAGAAGCAGGACUUUAUUCAUGCUCGACAAACAAACCUCCGGUCACUAGGUGGCGGCAGUGUUCAAAUUAAUCAACAGGCCAUCUGCGCAAGCCAGUGGAAGAAAUAGCCUACGGCCGAGAAACGAAGUUUGUGACCUUGAGAAGAAAAACGGAGUCAGAAUUUAGUAAGUAAAUGAAGUAAUAUGGAGUAUUAAGGCCGGACUACGAUUUAUUUUUUAUUUUUUUUGAAUAAAGUCAUAAUAUUACGAGAAUAGUAAUACUAUCGGCAGUAUACAAUCGCAACAUUGCCGGUAAAAUUAUUAGGAAAAAAAAAAAAAAGCUUCGGGGGGUGCACAGGGGAAGCCUACUGUGAAUGCAAAAUGUUAGGUACUGUUCAUCACUUCUGACAAGUUGCUGUAAUCAAUAUUGUUGCAAGUUUUGCACAAUGUUAAAAAGCUAUACCUUUUGAAAAAGAAAGCUUAAGAAAUUGCCCCCCACCCCAAAAAACAUUGGUAACUUAUGUUAUCAAUGCGCUAAUUACCUUUACCGAUUAAAAGUUUAAAAAAGUUUUACUGUGUUGAAUCACUGAGUUAAUAAAUUGAACUUGGAACUUGUUUUGAGGCUCAUAAAAUGAGCUGCAACUCAUUUUAUUAAUCUGUUUUGAUUAUAAUGUUAUGGAAUCGGUGCCAAUGGUUUGUACAUGUAAAUAAAUAUGAUCUGAUUCUCAACAGUAUUUCAAUUCAGGGGGGGCAUGAGAUAAAAUAACUACGCAACAAUGCUGAGCACAAAUUCUUACCGUUUUGUUGCAGUGGCUGAAGUAAAAGGUGUUUAAAUGUACCGACUCCAAAUGCAUUCCACACUUUUCACAUGUUUAUUGCUACCAGUUUUUUUAAAACCGACCAAGCACAUGAAAUCCCAAAGUAAUAAACAAUUAGUUGUUUUCACCUAAGGGCCUUCAAGCGAUAUAAAAA